UGCAAGUCGAACGAGCGAGAGAGAGCUUGCUUUCUUGAGCGAGUGGCGAACGGGUGAGUAACGCGUGAGGAACCUGCCUCAAAGAGGGGGACAACAGUUGGAAACGACUGCUAAUACCGCAUAAGCCCACGACCCGGCAUCGGGUAGAGGGAAAAGGAGCAAUCCGCUUUGAGAUGGCCUCGCGUCCGAUUAGCUAGUUGGUGAGGUAACGGCCCACCAAGGCGACGAUCGGCAGCCGGACUGAGAGGUUGAACGGCCACAUUGGGACUGAGACACGGCCCAGACUCCUACGGGAGGCAGCAGUGGGGAAUAUUGCACAAUGGGGGAAACCCUGAUGCGGCGACGCCGCGUGGAGGAAGAAGGUCUUCGGAUUGUAAACUCCUGUUGUUGAGGAAGAUAAUGACGGUACUCAACAAGGAAGUGACGGCUAACUACGUGCCAGCAGCCGCGGUAAAACGUAGGUCACAAGCGUUGUCCGGAAUUACUGGGUGUAAAGGGAGCGCAGGCGGGAAGACAAGUUGGAAGUGAAAUCCAUGGGCUCAACCCAUGAACUGCUUUCAAAACUGUUUUUCUUGAGUAGUGCAGAGGUAGGCGGAAUUCCCGGUGUAGCGGUGGAAUGCGUAGAUAUCGGGAGGAACACCAGUGGCGAAGGCGGCCUACUGGGCACCAACUGACGCUGAGGCUCGAAAGUGUGGGUAGCAAACAGGAUUAGAUACCCUGGUAGUCCACACUGUAAACGAUGAUUACUAGGUGUUGGAGGAUUGACCCCUUCAGUGCCGCAGUUAACACAAUAAGUAAUCCACCUGGGGAGUACGACCGCAAGGUUGAAACUCAAAGGAAUUGACGGGGGCCCGCACAAGCAGUGGAGUAUGUGGUUUAAUUCGACGCAACGCGAAGAACCUUACCAAGUCUU
rnacentral:rRNA from 1 species